GAUUAUCCUACUCGGAUAACUGUGGCAAUUCUAGAGCUAAUACACGCAAUAAAGCUCGGACCUUUCGGGACGAGCGCAUUUAUUAGACCAAAACCAAUCGGGCUUCGGCCUGAGCUUUGGUGACUCUGAAUAACUGAGCUGAUCGCACGGUCUUUGUACCGGCGACGCAUCUUUCAAGUGUCUGCCUUAUCAACUUUCGAUGGUAGUUUAUGUGCCUACCAUGGUUGUAACGGGUAACGGAGAAUAAGGGUUCGACUCCGGAGAGGGAGCCUGAGAAACGGCUACCACAUCCAAGGAAGGCAGCAGGCGCGCAAAUUACCCAAGGUCGGCACGAGGAGGUAGN
rnacentral:rRNA from 1 species